GCGCGAGUGGCGAAACUGGCAGACGCGCUGGACUUAGGAUCCAGUGGGCGAAAGCCCUUGGGGGUUCGACUCCCCCCUCGCGCACCA
rnacentral:tRNA from 1 species